CAAAAGGCCCUCGGCCCGGCCGCCCACCCAAUCCGCCUGUCCGCAGUCAGCACCCUGCUUCUGCCCAGGAGCCCUGCUGGGUGGCUCUGGCCCAUUUCAGGAUUUGAUCCGCACAACUACCUGGGCUGGGUGGCCCAGGAUCAGUCCCAUUUUACAGCACCUCAGGAAGGGCGCAUCCCCCAAGUCCUCUGGUGGCAGCUGCACAGGGACUUCCUUCCCGGCAGUGCAAACAGCGAAGCAAGGAAGACAGGUCAGGGGCAUAACUCUAUAUUGGACAAAUCCAGCAAAUGCCUCUGCAGCCCGGUGACCAAGGUGAGCAGCAGCGAUCGGUCACCUCGAUAACACAUACCUUUGAUAUGAUGCAAUGAGAAUGGCAUCUUACCUCUGUGGUCACCCUCCCAAGCCAGAACCCUGUCGGUGAGGAAAACAUGAGAAAAAUUCGCCAGAGGGGCAUUCUACAGAACACCUCGCUCACGCCCUGGAGACCACCAGGGCCAUCAGAAAAGUGCCAGGAAAGUCAGCCUGGCACUUGGUGGCCCACACCUGCAAUCCCAGUGAUGCAGGAGGCUGAGGCAGGAGGAUUGCAAGUGCAAGGUCAACCUGGGCAACGGAGCAAGACCCUGUCUCAAAAUAAAAUAGAAAAAGAGCUGUG